AUGGGAGCGGAGACGAACAUCUCGCCGCAGCUAGAGCCGGCCAAGUCGCGGGAGACGGAUACUCUACUCAACGACGAUCAGAACUGGAUGACGGUGCUGCAGGAGUCUGUGUCGUUCAGGCGGUUACUGUCCGAGCCACUCGAGUGGGAUACCACGGGGCAUGUCUCGCCAGCAACGAUGGCGCAUGUCCAAUCACUGCCGACAGCUCAGCUCGAUCUGCCAGUACAUGCCGCGGUGUUCGGACGUCAAUCUGUGUCCUCCAACUACUGUGCUGCGCACAUUGGAAGUUCUGAACCAGCCCAGAGUUGUAAUCCAUGCUUGCCCGUGGCUCGUUCAUUAGUAAGUCCAACACAUAUUGGAGGAGCCGAUCUCUAUAUGGUAAGUUCAUCCUCUAAUCUCAUUAAAUAA
rnacentral:rRNA from 1 species